rnacentral:rRNA from 1 species
AUGGCGAGCAUGACCAAUGCCGCGGUGAUUUUCGGCAUCCUAGUUUUUCUGCAGGUGUCGUGCGCCUUUUCCAGGCACCCUGCGGAAGGUAAGUUCGAGCUUCGACAGAACGUCCCAGCGGUGAUGACGGUAAACGGCUUCCAGGAAGGAGAGGGGGGCGGCGGGCCGGCGUCUUGCGACGGCCAGUACCACAGCGACGAUGAGUUCGUGGUGUCGCUGUCCUCGGAGUGGUACGCGGGCGGGGCCCGGUGCGGCAGGGGAAUCCGCAUCCUCGACACUUCCAAUAUCGGCAUAGACGCCAAGGUAGUUGAUGAGUGCGCCGGCUGCGACAACGAGGUGGGCGCCUCGUCCCAUAUCUGGAAGAACUUCCAUCUUGACACCAGCGUCGGCCAGGUGGACAUCAGAUGGUCGGACCUGGACGUCUAA